ACAGAGCACGUGGUGGCUGCUAGAGGACCAGCAGGGUCAGGAAGACAGUCACGGGGAAGAUAACAGGAAAUGAGUAAGAACCUGUGAAAGCCCUUUGACCUGAGGAGUUGCAGGAGGCUGAGAAUACCUGCUGGGAUGCUAAAGGGGUGUGAUUUUGCCAGCUGAAGGCAGUUUACAUUCGGAGUUCCGCGGACUCUUCAGAGGCUGUAAAAAUGCCGGAGUCACGAAAGCCUGCAAAGAGCUGUUGCUUGCCUUGCUGCUGCUGCUGCUACUGCCGUCCCUGCCCGUGCUGCAGCUGCUACUCCUGCUGCUGCUGCUGCUGCUUGUUGCUGAUUGUUGCGGUUGCUGGUUGCUGUUUACUGUUUGCUGCCGGCUGGAUUGCUGGAUUGCUGAUUGCCAGUCGGCGAAAUCCUGGCGAUGAAGAUCCAACUUGCCCCAAGAAACAAGACGACCCUAAGAAGUAGUCUAAUGAUUUCAAUACGCCCUUUCCCCCUCUGACCUUUCUCUCUUACCUUAUGCUGGGGGAUUGGAAGGGUGGCAGAAAAAAGAACCCAAUAAAGUAGCCAAAAGUAAAG
rnacentral:lncRNA from 1 species